CCAUUUGGGCGCCGCCAUUUUCCCUCUCCUACGAGAUGCCGCGAGAAACGCCUUCCGCCUCGGCCCCGGCUCCUGCUGCCUAGAGAGACCCACUUUCGGUGCGGGAAAGAUUGCGGGACGGUGGCGGGGAAGGAUCAUGAUUCCGACGAUGGCGAUCGCCCGGCGGGGCUUUCUGGUGGGCUGCUCGGGUGGCGGUAUCACCCUGUCCCGGGGCAUGCAGACAGUUAUUCAGAAUCUUCAGGGCUCGGCAGAGGAUUCAGCCACUCCAGCAGCUGAAGUGCCAGAGAUCCAAAGCAGGGGCCAUUUCAGGCUUUUCCCCCCAGCACCAGGGAGAGAGAGUGUGCUGAGGUGGGCAGGAAAGAAAUUUGAAGAGAUCCCCAUCGCUCACAUCAAAGCUACCUACAACAACACACACAUCCAGGUUCUCACCGCUGAGAAUGUCCCCUUGGCGCUGUCAACCUGUGGCACGGAAGGGUUCAAGAAUAUCAAGAAGGCCACGGCCAUCGCCGCCCAGACAACUGGGAUAGCAGCGGCAGCGAAAGCCUCCGCAAAGGGUGUGUCCCACGUGCGAGUGGUGGUGAAAGGCAUGGGGCCUGGCAGAUUGGUACUGUUGCCUGCGGUUUCUCGAACCCGGACCUAGUGGCUGCCCUGUUCACGGGAGCACCGAAGGUCCAGCUGGUACAUGUUCCGAAUAAGAUAUAGCGGCCAUCAAAGGUCUGACCAUGGGCGGCUUAGAAGUGAUCUCCAUCACGGACAACACUCCAGUCCCACACAACGGCUGCCGGCCUCGGAAGGCGCGAAGGCUGUAACCCGGGAAGCGGGGAGAAGAAAGACCCUCCAUUUUGCACCCGUGUGCGCCUGGCUCUGGGGUGGCUUCUGUAUGUGUGUUCUGUUUUCUGAACGGGGGACCUCCAUAAAGUCUGUGUCUUUAAAGCA